CCUGACAAAGGAUGUGACUGCAGUGUGGAGAUUGCCAGCUGGCUGCCCCUGCCUCUCCAGGCUGUUAACUGGCCAUAACUGCUCCUUGGCAAACCUGCUUGUCCUGCCUUGAAUUUCCGUGCAGGUCUGGCUGAACACAUAGCUUAUAUAUUGCAUAAUACUUGGCAUUACACAAUUAUUCAAAAUAAUGGAGGAUAAGGAUAAUUUUAUUGAACAUACUCAUGACAGAAAAGCAAACUUUACAUGAAAAAAGGGAGAGUAUGUUUCCAUUAACUAAAAAAGACUCUACAAUAACUGUUUGAAAUGCAGAAUUUCACCAAAAAACUGAGUAUCAUUCUAACAUGUCCAAUGCCAGUCAUCAGGUAGAAGACUUCCAUAAGAGGAGCAAGUUUAACCUGCAGAAAGUGUUAUGAUGCAUGGGCCUUUAAAUUAUUGGGGUUUAAGCAGAUUUUUUGAAAAUAAACUUUGCACGUUCCCAACUCCAAGAAUAAGCUUGACUGAAUAAAAGAGAAUACCAACUGAACAGACAAAGCAGGAAUACCAAACCAAAGAGAACAAGUAUUCUGAGCUGCUGAGAAACUUGACUGAUUUCUGCUGGACUUCCAGGAAAUUAACAAGUCGGGAAGCCAGGUCAAACUUGUGCAUACACUAAGCACUAUAUGGGAAGCCUUUCCACCAUUGGU